UACUGGGCGUAAAGAGNUCGUAGGUGGUUUGUUGCGUCGUCUGUGAAANUCCGGGGCUUAACUUCGGGGUGGCAGGCGAUACGGGCAUAANUAGAGUGCUGUAGGGGAGACUGGAAUUCCUGGUGUAGCGGUGGAAUGCGCAGAUAUCAGGAGGAACACCGAUGGCGAAGGCAGGUCUCUGGGCAGUAACUGACGCUGAGGAGCGAAAGCAUGGGGAGCGAACAGGAUUAGAUACCCUGGUAGUCCAUGCUGUAAACGGUGGGCGUUAGGUGUGGGGACCGGUUUGGUUUCUGUGCCGUAGCUAACGCAUUAAGCGCCCCGCCUGGGGAGUACGGCCGCAAGGCUAAAACUCAAAGGAAUUGACGGGGGCCCGCACAAGCGGCGGAGCAUGUGGAUUAAUUCGAUGCAACGCGAAGAACCUUACCUGGGUUUGACAUGCACCAGACGGUUGUAGAGAUACGUACCUCCCUUUGUGGUUGGUGUGCAGGUGGUGCAUGGUUGUCGUCAGCUCGUGUCGUGAGAUGUUGGGUUAAGUCCCGCAACGAGCGCAACCCUUGUCUUAUGUUGCCAGCACUUUGGGUGGGGACUCAUGAGAGACUGCCGGGGUUAACUCGGAGGAAGGUGGGGAUGACGUCAAAUCAUCAUGCCCUUUAUGCCCAGGGCUUCACACAUGCUACAAUGGUUAGUACAACGCGCUGCGAACCUGUGAGGGUGAGCGAAUCGCUGAAAGCUAAUCUCAGUUCGGAUUGGGGUCUGCAACUCGACCCCAUGAAGUCGGAGUCGCUAGUAAUCGCAGAUCAGCAAUGCAGCGGUGAAUACGUUCCCGGGCCUUGUACACACCGCCCGUCACGUCAUGAAAGUUGGUAACACCCGAAGCCCAUGGCCUAACCACCAUUUGGUGGGGGGAGU
rnacentral:rRNA from 1 species